rnacentral:rRNA from 1 species
AGAACGAACGCUGGCGGCAGGCUUAACACAUGCAAGUCGAACGCCCCGCAAGGGGAGUGGCAGACGGGUGAGUAACGCGUGGGAAUCUACCUAGCUCUUCGGAACAACUGAGGGAAACUUCAGCUAAUACCGAGUACGCCCUACGGGGGAAGGAUUUAUCGGAGUUAGAUGAGCCCGCGUUGGAUUAGCUAGUUGGUGGGUAAUGGCCUACCAAGGCACGAUCCAUAGCUGGUCUGAGAGGAUGAUCAGCCACACUGGGACUGAGACACGGCCCAGACUCCUACGGGAGGCAGCAGUGGGAAUAUUGGACAAGUGGG